rfam:Thermoactinomyces sp. Gus2-1 c30, whole genome shotgun sequence.
AUUGAAUAGCUGUUGUUUUCUCAUAUAUGCUCAGGAAUAUGGCUUGAGCGUCUCUACCAGGAAACCGUAAAUUUCCCGGCUAUGAGAAAAAACUGUUUGUUU